rnacentral:rRNA from 1 species
AGGGUUCGAUUCUGGCUCAGGAUGAACGCUGGCGGCGUGCCUAACACAUGCAAGUCGAGCGAUUCUCUUCGGAGAAGAGCGGCGGACGGGUGAGUAACGCGUGGGUAACCUGCCUCAUACACAUGGAUAACAUACCGAAAGGUAUGCUAAUACAGGAUAAUAUAAGAGAUUCACAUGGAUUUCUUAUCAAAGCUCCGGCGGUAUGAGAUGGACCCGCGUCUGAUUAGCUAGUUGGUAAGGUAACGGCUUACCAAGGCGACGAUCAGUAGCCGACCUGAGAGGGUGAUCGGCCACAUUGGAACUGAGACACGGUCCAAACUCCUACGGGAGGCAGCAGUGGGGAAUAUUGCACAAUGGGCGAAAGCCUGAUGCCAGCAACGCCGCGUGAGUGAUGAAGGCCUUCGGGUCGUAAAACUCUGUCCUCAAGGAAGAUAAUGACGGUACUUGAGGAGGAAACCCCGGCUAACUACGUGCCAGCAGCUGC